GACGAACGCUGGCGGCGUGCUUAACACAUGCAAGUCGAACGGAAAGGCCCUGCUUUUGUGGGGUGCUCGAGUGGCGAACGGGUGAGUAACACGUGAGUAACCUGCCCUUGACUUUGGGAUAACUUCAGGAAACUGGGGCUAUUACCGGAUAGGAGCUCCUGCUGCAUGGUGGGGGUUGGAAAGUUUCGGCGGUUGGGGAUGGACUCGCGGCUUAUCAGCUUGUUGGUGGGGUAGUGGCUUACCAAGGCUUUGACGGGUAGCCGGCCUGAGAGGGUGACCGGCCACAUUGGGACUGAGAUACGGCCCAGACUCCUACGGGAGGCAGCAGUGGAGAAUAUUGCACAAUGGGCGGAAGCCUGAUGCAGCAACGCCGCGUGCGGGAUGACGGUCUUCGGGUUGUAAACCGCUUUCGCCUGUGACGAAGCGUGAGUGACGGUAAUGGGUAAAGAAGCACCGGCUAACUACGUG
rnacentral:rRNA from 1 species